GAGUGGUUGUGAUGUGACGUUGCUUGAUGUUAGUAGUUUGAGGUGUUGAUUGUAUUGGCUGAAACAUAAAUGCAUGAUGGUUGGCGACGUGUUGGUGCUAGUUAGAGAUGUUGUUUGUUGUGAUGGUGGAGAUAAUUGUUAGUAGAGAUAAAUUGUAGCGAUGGUAGUUGUUGAACUGGUGGUAGAGGUGGUGUUACUAGUGACAAUGGUGGUGGAGGCCG
rnacentral:lncRNA from 1 species